AGUGAACGCUGGCGGUAGGCCUAACACAUGCAAGUCGAACGGCAGCACAGUAAGAGCUUGCUCUUACGGGUGGCGAGUGGCGGACGGGUGAGGAAUACAUCGGAAUCUACUUUUUCGUGGGGGAUAACGUAGGGGAACUUACGCUAAUACCGCAUACGACCUACGGGUGAAAGCAGGGGAUCUUCUGACCUUGCGCGAUUGAAUGAGCCGAUGUCGGAUUAGCUAGUUGGCGGGGUAAAGGCCCACCAAGGCGACGAUCCGUCGCUGGUCUGAGAGGAUGAUCAGCCACACUGGAACUGAGACACGGUCCAGACUCCUACGGGAGGCAGCAGUGGGGAAUAUUGGACAAAGGGCGCAAGCCUGAUCCAGCCAUACCGCGUGGGUGAAGAAGGCCUUCGGGUUGUAAAGCCCUUUUGUUGGGAAAGAAAAGCAGCAGGUUAAUACCCCGCUGUUCUGACGGUACCCAAAGAAUAAGCACCGGCUAACUUCGUG
rnacentral:rRNA from 1 species